UUCUACUUUGUUGUACUAUUUAGCAUAGUAGCUUUUCGUGCUACGGGUGAUAUUUUAUCAAGUAGGGU
rnacentral:tRNA from 1 species